rnacentral:lncRNA from 1 species
CUUGUGCCACACUUGAGUGCUGUUUUUUGUUUGUUUGUUUUUUGUUCAUUUGUUUGUUUGUUGUAGCCCUGGUUGUCCUGGAACUUACUCUGUAGAUCAGGCUGGCUUCAAAAUUCACAAAGAUCCACCUUUCUCCUCCCUCCAAGUGCUGGGAUUAAAGGUGUGCAUCACCACUGCCCAGGUUGAGUGGUAGUUUUUCUUAUCUUCCUCUCCGGGGUAGUAUGUAAUGCAUCCAUGCCAAAUGGUGUCCAGUGGGAUCACGUGUAUAGGGAAGCUCUGAACAGGGUUAAGACAGCUAUGUAGGGUGACUUGUUCCCAUAGCAAGCUGCUGACUCAGUGAAGCUCUGAUAUGAUCUCAGCAAAGUCCUGGAAGGUUGUCUGUUUUGCGGGAGGCUCCUGGGAGCUGUGCAGCCACCCCCCUGUACUCCGAUGAGUGAGUAGACUGUCUGUUUGGAGGUGGAGUGAGGUGGUUGGUCACGUGAGGUCAGGUGCUAAUGGCUCUUCUACUGUCUUUCAGUGAACGAAUUCACGGUGAUCAGGAAGAAGUUCAAGUGCCCCUACUGCAGCUUCUCAGCCAUGCACCAGUGCAUCCUUAAGAGACACAUGCGUUCACAUACUGGAGAGCGGCCCUACCCUUGUGAAAUCUGUGGCAAGAAGUUCACUAGGAGAGAGCACAUGAAGCGACAUACUCUGGUCCACAGCAAGGACAAGAAGUACGUGUGCAAAGUGUGCAGCCGCGUGUUCAUGUCUGCAGCCAGCGUGGGCAUUAAGCACGGCUCUCGUCGCCAUGGUGUGUGUGCAGACUGUGCUGGCCGGGGUGUGGGCACACCACUGGACCACGGUGGAGGUGGUGAGGGCUCCCCUGAGGCACUGUUUGCUGGUGAAGGGCCAUACCUGGAGGACCCGGAUGAUCCACGAGGGGAAGUUGAGGAGGAGCUGGGUGAGGACGAGGAUGAGGAUGUGGCCAAAUGGAAGGACGACGUGGGUUUGGCACAUGAGGAUGCACUGCUGGGAGAUGACAAGGAUGAUGAGGACUCUCCACAGGGGCCUCACAGCCCCGCUGGGGAGCCUGAUAAAGACUUUGCCUGGAUCUCCUAGGGGCCCUGCUCUAGGGGGCAGGGUGAGUGGUGGCGGAAUCGCUUUGUUCACCUGUGUGUGUGUCUUAGUGGAUCUUUGCUUACCCAGGAGCAGGGCCAUGCUAGUUCCUUGAAGCUCUUCUUACAGGCCCUCCUCUGUGCUGUACCCUCCCCAUUGCAGAAACUGGUCCUGUGAGCUAAAAACUGGGUGUGGCUCCAGUAACUGGGGAGCACUAGGACUGAACACGAAGCAAGGGGUACAGUGUGGGUUUAAGAAAAGGGAGAAUGCAUGCUCCCACCUGUCCAGGUAUCCCCAGCAGGUGUCUAGAUGCAUGGGCAGGGCUGCGCCAAGGCCUGGGUAUGCUUCCUCAGGGUAUCAAAGGAGCCCUUUGCUGUGAACCUGGCUAGGGAUGCAAGAUGACUCAGUGUACAGGUCAGGGUCAACACUGGUUAUGGUCGUGAGGGCAGCCCCCCAGUCUGCAGGCCUGAGUAGGUGUUGAGUUUUGCAUAAACACAAACUGCUUCAUCCACAGCAUUGCUCAAUCUCCUUCUAUUGCCCCCUCCCCAAGCAGUCAGGUUAUGGGCUAUGGCCCUGUGUCACUCUGUCCUCUUGGGUUCUGUUGUCCCAUAGCAGCUGGUGGAACCUAGUGGGCAACAAGUCCUGCAACCCUCUUACCUCCAGGCUUUGGUGCUUAACACAAAACGGCUGCAGAUGCCUCUCUGGAAGCCCUAGGCUCCAGGUGCUAUCUCUGUGGGAAGCAGCUACCUAAUUGGCAGGCUGAGGAGGAGUGCUGUCUGUUCAAGAGGGGACCUGUGGCCGGAUACUUUCCACUUGAAGCUCACAGGGUUGAGCUGCAAAGGCCACAGCUCUUUGUUCUGUGUGCACUUUCAUGGAGAGCCCCAUUGUGCACCCUGAGUUCUGCCUGUGCUUUUGCUGAUCCCUCCUUGGACCAGAUAGAGCUCAGCUCUUGCCUUUGUUGCUGCUAACACUGGAGGUGGGUGUUCCUAGCUGCAGUGUGCUGCUAUGCCUCUCUGCCUAGGAACCAAAUUUUAAAGAAGUCAGAGACAUUUGGAGGUGGUCAC